UACGUAGGGUGCGAGCGUUGUCCGGAAUUAUUGGGCGUAAAGAGCUCGUAGGCGGUGUGUCACGUCGGCCGUGAAAACCUGCAGCUUAACUGUGGGCGUGCGGUCGAUACGGGCAUCACUGGAGUUCGGCAGGGGAGACUGGAAUUCCUGGUGUAGCGGUGAAAUGCGCAGAUAUCAGGAGGAACACCGGUGGCGAAGGCGGGUCUCUGGGCCGAUACUGACGCUAAGGAGCGAAAGCGUGGGGAGCAAACAGG
rnacentral:rRNA from 1 species